UGUAUCUCGAAAACAUAAAGCGACCUACGUUUUACGAUGUCUCGGCUUUCAUUAGCUACAGGGUUCACCUUUGAACGCUUUUUGAACUAUUGACGAAUCCAACUGUCAUACGAAAUGGCAUUCCCGAAAAACUUGAAUCGUGUAAACUACUUUUUAAUUUGGGGUUAGUAAACACUCACAAUUGGUGGCAGUGAAAAUGUAUAUGCGCUCUUUUAGCUUUACGACCCGCAAAGUGUAAAUAAAACUGUUAAAAUGUUAAGCAUAAAUAAGAUAAAAGUCUGAUUGCAAUGAAUCAAGAAUCUAUCAAAAAGGUAUGCAGCCUUCAAUGUUCACGAUUAUUCAGUUUCUGACAAAUCCGCCAUUGUUGUUCUGUUACGAGCCCACUUCCGGUCUGGACUCGUUCAUGGCAGAGAACAUAGUGCAGAUGCUUCAGCAGAUGGCAAAGCGCGGCAAGACUGUCAUAUGCACCAUCCACCAACCCAGCUCCGAGGUGUUCGCACUCUUCGAUCAUGUGAUUGUCAUGGCAGAGGGACGAGUGGCGUUCAUGGGAGAAGCAGAACAGGCUCUGAACUUCUACAAGGGAGACACCACAAGUAAGAACAACAAGGAAAGUUGAAGAAAUGAAUAUUGGUGUGGACCUGAGGUUGGCCUUAACAUAUAAUGGCAUUGACCUUGAGAUAAUCGUCUUUGAGCGACCGUUUAAUCAAGCUUUGAUGCAGGUAAAGCAGGAUCGGGUUCCCGUGUCCCAUGAACUUUAACCCCGCCGACUUCUACAUCCACACCAUGGCUGUGCGGCCCGGCAAGGAGACCGAGUGUAAAGCGCAAAUCGAGCAAAUCUGCGAUAAAUUCG